UACAGAGGGUGCGAACGUUGCUCGGAAUCACUGGGCGUAAAGCGCGUGUAGGCGGACGAUCAAGUCAGGCGUGAAAUCCCCGGGCUCAACCCGGGAACUGCGUCUGAAACUGGUUGUCUUGAGUGUCGGAGAGGGAAGCGGAAUUCCUGGUGUAGAGGUGAAAUUCGUAGAUAUCAGGAGGAACACCGGUGGCGAAGGCGGCUUCCUGGACGACUACUGACGCUGAGACGCGAAAGCGUGGGGAGCAAACAGG
rnacentral:rRNA from 1 species